rnacentral:ncRNA from 1 species
GUGCGGUCACAAAAAGCAAAACUUUUUGAAUCAAACGCUGACUUUGUCGACGGACUAAAAGGGUGAGCAAUUCUUUUUCAAGGAUUACCAAUAAAAAAUCAUAAU